rnacentral:tRNA from 1 species
GGAGAUGUAUCGAAGUGGUCAUAACGAGAACGACUCGAAAUCGUUUGAUCGCCAAAAGCGGUCCGUGGGUUCGAAUCCCACCGUCUCCGCCA